UCCCAUUUUUUAAAAAUACAAAUAUCCGUGUGUGUGUCUGUGUGUGUACAUAUACACAUAAGGUGUUUCCCACCUCCUUAUAUAAAUGACAGCAUACUAUACAUAUUGGUCUUAACCUUACUUUUUGCCACUUAAUGAAAUACCCUAAAGAUGACUUCUUAGUAGCAUGGAGAUAUUCUUCAUUCCUUUUUAUAGCUAAAUAGUACUGUAUUAUUCUCAACCUGCUUGAUGAAUGCUAUUUGGAAACAUCUUGAUAGGCUAUUAAAAAGUAGAGUUGACCCUUGAACAACACAAGCUUGAACUACACAGCUCCACUUAUACACAAAUUUAUUUCUGUAAAUACAGUACAGUACUAUAAAUGUAUUUUCUCUUCCUUAAUAUUUUCUUAAUAACAUUUUCUUUUUUCUACCUUCCUUUAUUAUAAGAAUACACUAUAUAAUACAUAUAGCACACAAAAUAUGUGUUAAUCAACUCUUCACAUUAUCAUUAAGGCUUCUGGUCAACAGUAGGCUAUUAGUAAAGUUUGGGGGAAGUCAAAGACUCUACGCAAUUUUUGACUGCAUGAGGGGGUGCAUGUCAGUGCUCCUAACCCUCACAUCAAUCUUUCAGUAACUUCUCUAGAAAUGUACAAAUCCAAAAGGAAACCAAACCACCCCUAAUUCAUGUUUAAACAUAACUGAGAGUCAAGAAUACCACAGAUUUUAAUUACAUUUUCAGAUAUAAAGAUCUGAAACCAUUAGAGCUAAUACCUGACUCAUACCAGAAUGAAUAGUUUUAUGUAGUUAGAAAUUGCAUUUAAAAGGGGGAGGGCAGUGGAGGCCUAACACAGUCAAAAUCACCUCCAGGAAAAUAUAGGCCCAUUUAGAGUGGGAAAUACUGAGAACAGAGCUAAGACCUACUUCCCUACUGGGGAAUCCAAAGGAAGCCAGUGGUUCGAAAGUCUGGAUUGAGGGACUAGAGAUAGCACUCUUGAGAAGACAUCUACCUUUGGGGGAAGGUAGACAUAUUGAAGGAAAAGCAGGGCAUUGUAAUUGAGAAUUAUACAGAAACAGAAGAGAAUCAUAAAGCCAAAAGACACAUCAGACACUUCCCAUCCCAACAGCCUCAUCUACUAAAGAAACUGCAUUUCAUUAGGUCAACAGAAAAUUCAUAACCCGAGAUCCCUGCCAAAAUAGAACCUCCUGUUUUUGCUGGUCCAGGAAAAUAUCAGACAUUUCAAAUGAUUAGGAAAUAGCAGUCGACACCUAUAAAAAGCUUCUAUCUGACAAAAAGCAAAGAUGAGGCUAAAACCAUUUUAACUGUUAAAAAUUCUGCCAAAAUCAGUGACUAACCAGAAGAAAACUAUUGCACAACAACCCAACUUGAAUUAAACAAGUAUUGACAGAUAUGAAAAAAAUACCAUGAAUCAUAAAUUUUAAAAGUCAGACUAGAAAUGCGCAAUAGACAGGAAGAUGUAAAAAUGGAAUUGUCCAAACUCAAGAAAAAAAUUGAAGAAAGACAAAAUAAUCUCAAUUGACUCAAUUCCAGGGUGCCCAAUGGACACAGGUUUAACUGAAAAUGUAAUAAGGGACAUUGAGAAGAGAAAUAAAAACAGCCAAGAGAAUAAAAAUAAGUAUUAGAAAAGGUUAAAAAGUAUCAGAAAGGAACUGUUGGAUAUAGAACAUAGUCAACAAAGAUUCAAUGUGUAUGUGUAAAUGUAUGUAUGCAUGUGUUAUUGGAGUGUCUGAAGAAGAUAAACAAAGCAAUGAACCAGAAUUAAUACUUAAAUUUUUCAAAAAUUAAAACCCAAACUUCUGUUUUGAAAGGGCCUACCUUAUUCCUGGAAAAAUUGAUUCAGAUUGGUUACUCUAAGAUCUAUUCUAGUAAAACUAUUACAUUCUAAGAAUAAAGAAAAAUUUCCUCUAAGCCUCCAGAAAAAAGGCCAAAUUAUUUACAAGGGAAAGAAAGUCAAGUUUGCAUCAUCCUUUGCUAUAGCAAAGUAUAAAGCAAGACAAAGUAGAGUGGUGUUUUUAAGAAAUUCAAGGAAAGAAAAUAAGAUCUUGGGGUUUUAUAUCUAUACAAGCUGUUUUUUGGGUACUGAGAUUAUACUGAAAUGUGUUCAGCAUGCAGGAGCUUAGGAAAUGCUAUAACCCAAGCCCUACCGGAGGAAUGAGUUACAUACAGAAAGAGCUUCAUCCAAACAAGGAAUGAUCAAUCUAAGACAAAAACAAAGGUGGAGACGGGGUAGAACAGUAUGGUAUCAGUCUGGGUCCAAUGAAAAGAGAGAACCCACACAGUAAUUUGAACACAGAAAGUUUAAUAUAAUUAUUAACUGUAACACAGGCUUGGGGUAUUGGUGUGUUUGGCUAGUCAAAAGGAAAGAGAACUCUAAUGAAUAUAAGAGCAGACGUAAGGGCAGGCCACUACACUGGAGCUGAGAUAGAGGGCCCAAGGAGGAGCCUCCCCUCUCCCAUCCUCAGGGCUGAGAUGUAGACCUUGUUGGAGGGGACGCAGCUGUGGCUCACUGUACGAGAGAAGUCACUGUGGUGCCACAGCAGUGGACUUUGCUAGAAAUUUGCCUUCAGGGGUGCCUCUGGGGAAAGCUGUUCAUGGAGAGAUGUCUCUCUGGAGUGCUAUAAAGCCAUUUAAGUGGAGCAAGGUGGUGGUGGUCGUGGUGCUGGCUACUGAUAUUACUGGCUGUCGUGAACUGCAGAAUAUGGUCAAGAGAGAAGGUGGGAUUGCUGCAGGAGCCCACCAAGCAUUCACACCGGAAGCAGGAAGCAAACCUCCUCCCUCCUGUAAUAUCCUUAGAUGGGAUCAAAGGAUAUCACCUAAAACUGAUACACCAAAUAGAAGCCUAAAUGAGGAAAAGGUAGAUUAAGGAUACUAUAAAAUAUGUUAGUAUAAAGGUAACUACUAAAAUAAAAUUCCAAAACUUGCUUAAUAACAAAGGAGCAAAAAGAUCAAGAAACAGACCACACAGAGAAGGAGAUGAACUAAAUAUGGAAAGCACAGUAAAUAAAACCUAAUGUGACAGGGUUGAAACCAAAUGUGUGAUUUAUAUCAAUAAAUAUAAAUAGUUUUAACUGACCUAUUCAAAGGAAAAAAAUUCAGAUUGGUACUCAGAGUCAAACCCAGCUUUAUACUGUGUACAGGAAACAUACCUAAAGUCAAAUAAAUGAAAAAGACUAAAAAUAAAAGGAUGGUUAAGGGUAUGAAAAGGAAAGUCAAACAAUACAAUAACAGAUACUACAAUUCUGAUAUUAGACAAGGCAGAAUUCAGACCAAGAGGGGCGCCUGGGUGGCUCAGUCAGUUGAGUGUCCAGCUUUGGCCGAGGUCAUGAUUUCACAGUUCGUAAGUUUGAGCCCCGCAUCGGACUCACUGAUGUCAGCACAGCCUGUUUGGGAUCCUCUGUCCACCCGCCCCCCCCCCCCGCCCCUCCCCCACUCAUGCUUGCACUCUCUGUCUCUCUCUUUCUCUCUUUCUCACACAAAAAUAAAUUAAAAAACAAAACAAAACAAAAAAAGAAUUCAGACCAGGAUGCAUUCAACAAGACAAAAGAAGCCACUUUAUAAUGCUUAAUGGUGAUACAAUUCACAAUGAAAAUGUAAUAAUUAAAAAUAUUUUGGAACCAAAUUACAAAGAAUGUGUCUUCGUAAAAUGGAAAUGAUUGUAGGUGCAAAGAGAUAGAGACAAACACACUGAUAGAUUUAACACACCUCUCAAGGCAAGGCAGGCCAAGAGGACAAAAGUUAAAGGUAUUGAAGUCUUUAAUGAAUAAGGUAGAUCACGUAUGUGUACACAUAUCACACUCUGUUUCCUGGUGAAUAUCCUUCUACAUUGAAAUCUAAAACUCUAAACAACUCUUGUUUGAAAAGGGAAAUAUAAACCAAAAUUGCAAAACUCCUAAAAAAUAAUUAAUAAACACGUAUCGGAAUUUUGAGAUCAGUUAAAGCAAUGGUUGAAAGAAAACUGAUAGAUUUAAAUACUUGACAUCAAUAAAAAUGGAAGGAUAAAAAUUAAGGAUUUAAAUUCCCAAUUCAAAAAGCUAGAGAAAGAGUCACGACACAAAGAAAACAAAAAGGAAAAAGAAAAAAGAAAGGUAAAAGCAAAAGUUAAUGAGGUGGAAAAUAGAAAAGCAAUAAAUCAAAAUGCCGGUCCUUUGGGAGGAUAAUACACAAGAUACACAAACUAAGUAGUUAGCCUACUAAAGAAAAGGAAUAAGCACAGAUACACAAAAGUAGAGAUGACCAAGGGGGGAAAUAACUCUGUGUAAAUAAAUUAGAAAAGUGAGGUGAAGUAGGAAAAUACUAUUUGUCAAAUCUGAACCCAAUAGCAUUACAAUAUUUAAACAGGUAUGUAGAAAACAUAUGAAAAUUUUCAAAGAACUACACCUGCAGCAGAGCACUUAAGUGCAGAUUAUUCUACAGGGGAGUCCUACAAAACUUUAAAGACCAGAUUAUCUACUACUUAAAUUGCUAGAGGUCAGUGAUACCCAACAGAACUUCUGUGACGAUGGAAAUGUUUUAUAUCUAUGCUGUCUAGCCACAUAUGACUACUGCAACUAAAGAUUUUUAAUUUUGUGUAAUUGUAAUUUAAAGUUAAAAGGCCUUAUGUGGCUGGUGACUGUCUACUGGACAGUUCAGCUCCAUACAUAUCAUAGAAAAAUAGGAAAACAUACAGAUUUCUUUUUAUGAAGUAGGUAGAAUUUUGAUACCUAAGCCUGAUUUAAACACACACACACACACACACACACACACAUACAGUUUCAUGUAUGAAUUUUGUUACAAAAAUUCUAAGUAAAAUAUGAGAAAUGAGAAUUCAACACAUUUAAAACAAUAAUUUAUCAAAGCAAAUUAGUGGGGUUUUUUUCUGGAAUAAAAAGGUUUAACUUUAGAAAAAUCAUUAAUGAAAUUCACCAUAUUAAGAUCGUUAUAACAGGGAUGCUUGGGUGGCUCAGUCAGUUAAGUAUUUGAGUCUUGAUUACAGUUCAGGUCAUGAUCUCACAGUUCAUGAGAUUGAGCCCCAGUUGGGCUCUGGGCUGACAGCAAGGAGCCUACUUGGGAUUCAUAUUCCCUCUCCCUCUCCCUCUCCCUCUCCCUCUCCCUCUCCCUCUCCCUCUCUCCCCCCUUCCUCCUGGCUCAUGCUCUCAUGUACUCUUUCUCUCUCAAAAUAAAUAAACUUAAAAAAAAACAAAAACAAAAAAAGAUAGCUAUAAGGAAGAAAGUCGUCUGACCUUUGACGAAAAUUAGCACACUACUAAAGACUCAACAUUUCCUGAUUUCAAAACUUAUUACAAAGCAACAAUACUCAAGACAUGUAGUACUGGCAUAAAGAUAUACUUAUAGGGGCGCCUGGGUGGCUCAGUCAGUUAAGUGUCCAACUUCAGUGCAGGUCAUGAUCUCACAGUCCAUGAGUUCGAGCCCCGCAUCGGGCUCUGUGCUAACAGCUCAGAGCCUGGAGCCUGCUUCGGAUUCUGCGUCUCCCUCUCUCUCUGCCCCUCCCCUGCUCACACUCUGUCUCUCUCUGUCUUUCAAUAAUAAAUAAACGUUUAAAAAAAAUUUUUUUAAGUUAAAAAUAGAAUUACCAUAUGAUUCAGCAUUUCCACUUCUGCGUGUAUAGGCAAAACAAAAGUAGGGAUUCAAGCAGAUAUUAGUAUACCUAUGUUUAGCAGCAUUAUUCACAAUAGCUAAAAGGUCGAAGCAACCGAAGUGUCUAUCCGUGGAAGAAUGGGUCAACAAAAUGUGGUAUAUGCAUACAACAGAAUAUUACUGAACCUUAAAAAGGAAGGAGAUUCUAACCCGUGCGACAAUGUAGAUGAAUCUUGAAGACAUUAUGCUAAGUGAAAUAAGCCAGUCGCAAGAGGACAAACACUGUAUGAUCCCACUUAUAGGAGAUACAUAAUACAGGCAAAUUUAUAGAGACAGAAAACAGAAUGGUGGUUGUUAGGAGCUGGUGAGGAGGGAGGAAUGCAAAUUACUGUUUAAUGGGUACAGAGUUCACUUGGGGAAGAUGAAAAAGUUCUGGAGAUGGAUGGUGGUGAUGGUUGCACAACAAUGUGAAUGUACUUAAUACCACUUACUUUUGAGAAAGAGAAGGGGAAAUAUGUAUACACACACACAUUUUAUAAUAUACAUGAAAUGACAUAUUUUAUAUACUUAUUUUUAUGAGAAGAAACACAGGAAUGUUAAACCAGAAAAUAAGGAAAAGUUCACCUAUUGGGAGUAUCUAGGAAUAGUGUGGAAAGUAUAGCAAUGAGAGUGAGACUUCUCUGAGAAUACUCUUUUAUAUUCUCUUGACUUUUGCAUUAUGUAAAUGUUUUACUUUAAAAAUAAAACUAAACCAGAGAAAAGAACAAAUCAUAUUCUGAAAUUGAUUACAAACAGAAACAAACUGAACUAUGUAUCAAAUGGAUAUCAUAACAUUGGGACACACUUCAAAGAAAAAAUGGAGCUUCAAAUAAAUCCUGAUGUUUUAUUAACAAUGUUAGUAGUUUUACCUUAAUCUGAAGCUAUUUUGCCUGUAUUGAGGAUAGGGCAAGUGAGUAAAGAAGAUACAAAUGUAGGAUGGGGGAAGAUGAAGAAGAACCCUGUAGUAUAGGAUUUGAAUUGGAGGUAUCUAUUAUGAACUCUUAACUUUAAAACGUGUAUAUAAUUAUAUAUACAUAUAUAUAUAUAUAUAUAUAUAUAUAUAUAUAUAUGUAUAUAUAUUUGUAUUAUAAUGAUGUAAGUUCUGUUCAUUGAAAAGGCCUAAAAGUAAUGACACCUCAGUAGCAAUGUGGUUUCUAACUCCCAUUCUCCACUAAAAGGAAUCCUGGCUCCUUGGAGAAAUGACUGAUUCCAGGGCUGAGCAGAAGAGAAAAUGUAAGGUGAAUUUGGAACAUUCUAUUAUGCCAGAAAGAAAAGAAGGCUUAAAGAACAGAAACAUAUCAGAAGGACACAGGAGCCAGCUUGAAGGGGCUCUGAUCAGCCAAAACUGGAACAAUAAGAGUAACAAACAGAAUAAUGAAAACAAGAGAACAAUGGUAUUGGCAUCCAUAGGUCCCUAGUGAUACACAUAAAAAACUUUAGAGUUGCAGGGAAAGGUCUAAUUGCAGAAUGUCAGCUAAUAAGUAUAGAGAGAAUGAUAGAAAAUUACCAUUUUGCAACCACCAUUUUAAUUGAUUCAGGCAAGGAUAAUCAGUGAGUGCUAAAACCACAGGGUAAAAAAGCUUAUUGGAGAAUAGGGUAUUCACAUAGUCUCAGUGUUUCCUAUUAAUUACAAAGGGAAAUUAUAAUGGAGAAGUCUGCCAGUCACUCCUUAACAAGUGAUCAAAUUCAGUAUCAUCGAUAAUUAGAUAAACCACAUUAUGUGCUUCUUAAAGUAAUGAAGUGAGAAGUACUCAACAUCACUUGUAUUUUUGUCAGAACUGUUUAGCAUGAAUGUAAUCAUAAGGAAACAAUCAGGAAAAAAAAUCCAAAUUGUGGGAUAUUCUAUUAAACAGCUAGCCCACAGUCUUCAAAAAUAUCAGUUUCAUGAAAAACCAGCAAAAGACAACAGGGUUGGUCUAGAUUAAAGGAGGCUAAAGAAACAGGACAACCAAAUACAAUAUGUAAUUCUCGUUCAGCUCCUGUACUUAAAAAAUUCAACUGCUAUAAAGGACAUUUGGGGGACAGUUGAGGAUAUUUUAAGUUAAAUUUCUUGGGAAUGACAGUAUUGCAGUUUUAAAGGAGAACGUCCUUGUUCUGAGGACAAAUGUACUGAUGUAUAUUUAGGGGUGAAGUGUCACUAUGUUUCUGACUUUCUCAUAGUUCAGAGGAAAAAGUGUGUGUAGAUAGAUGGAAAGCAAAUAUGGUGAAAUGUUAUUAGUUGUUGAAUCUGGGUGAAGGAUACAUAGUUGUUCAUGUACUGUUUUUGCUACUUUUCUCUAGGUUUAAGAUUUUUCAAAAUAAAGUUUAAAUAAAUUAUGUACAUAAUUAUACAUAUA